ACAGGAGUAGGAGCUGCGCCAUUCAAAUGCGAACACCUCAGUCUCUGUGUCCCUCGAGGCUCGAACUUCGUUAGAUCCCAACCCUCAAACAUCAAUCUUCGUUUCUCUCCUAUGCAAGGUUUUGUCUGAGUCCCGUGCGAGAGGCUCUCUAAGCAAUCUUUGGUCUUCUUCCUCCUGAUUCUUAGGGAUAAAUGGGGAAGAAAGUCAAGAAGAAGAGCCGAGGUCCUCUGAAGGAGAAGCGGGUUGCGGCCCAUUCCCCAAAAAAAGUUCCCCAACAAUCUGACCCUAGUCCUGAGACUGCUGGUGAUGAAGUUUCAGCAGUAACAGAGAGAAAACCCUGUUUUCAUCUUGAAAAGGGCGUUGAUUUGAGUAAACUGUCAGCUAGAAUUGGGUCUUCAGAACCUAUUAUGUGUGAAGAUUGUAGGGUUGAUGGUAAGGGGAAUAAGGGAAAAGGUAAACAUGGGAAGAAGAAAGGUGGGGCUGCAGUUGAUUCUAUAUCGGACUCAAGACCCAUAUGGGUUUGUUUGGAAUGUGGGCAUUAUGCCUGUGGAGGGGUUGGACUCCCAACAGGCCCUCAAAGUCACACUGUUCGGCAUGUUAGGCAGACUCAUCACCCUUUGGUAAUUCAUUUUGAGAAACCUCAACUCUGUUGGUGCUUUCCUUGCAAAACACUCAUUCCGAUUGUGAAGAUGGAAGACAAUGGUGACCAUAAAAAUGUCUUAUCAGAUGUUGUGAAGUUGAUAAAGGGGCGAUCAUCAGUAGGGUCCUCAGUGGAUGUUGAGGACGCUUGGUUUGGGGGUGGCAGUGUUACAAGUGAAAUUAAAGCAGGAAGCAGUGCACUGAUUGAUUUGGAUUUAGGUGGCAAUUAUGUGAUAAGAGGUCUGGUUAAUCUUGGGAAUACUUGCUUCUUCAAUUCAGUCAUGCAAAAUCUUUUAGCCAUGAAAAUGUUGAGGGAUUAUUUUUUCCAGUUGGACACUUCUAGUGGCCCCCUUACGAUUGCUUUGAAGAAGCUCUUUAUUGAAACCAAGCAGGAAGGAGGAUUGAAAAAUGUGAUUAAUCCAAGAAGCUUUUUUGGUUGUGUCUGUUCAAAGGCUCCCCAGUUUAGGGGAUACCAGCAGCAUGACAGCCAUGAAUUGCUCCGUUGCUUACUUGAUGGUUUAUCUACUGAGGAGUUGGGCUCAAAAAAACAACUUAAUUCCCCAAAGGGAGAUGGCAUUUCUUCAAAUCUAAGUACUUUUGUGGAUGCUGUAUUUGGGGGCCAAAUAUCAAGUACUGUUUGUUGUGUUGAGUGUGGGUACUCUUCAACUGUGUAUGAGCCCUUUCUAGAUCUUUCCCUGCCAGUUCCAACUAAAAAACCUCCAUCCAAAAAGGCACAAGCAGUAACUCGAGCUAAGAAAACUAAGCUGCCACCCAAGAAAGGUGGAAAGACUCGGCCAAAAGUUAACAAAGAUGCAGAUUUAUUACCAGCUCAAAGUGUGUCAAACCUAGCAGCCAGCAAUGAUAUUUCCUGCCAAGAACAGGCGGUUGAGGCCGUUGCAGAAAAGGAGAUGGCCUUUUCAUGUAAUUCUAUGCCAUUAAGUUCCAGUGACCUAAUAGUUGUGGCUGGUGAAAGUGGUUCGGCUUCACAGAAUCUCUUAGCUGUUCAAGCUUAUGAAAAUGAGCAAGUCUUUGAGAAUGUUGUAGAGCAAACAUCAGCUUUAUUGGAUGAUUUUACGUGGUUGGAUUACAUUGAUCCGGAGACUGUAUCAGAUGAAUGUCAUUUGACACAAAGCAAUGGUGUUUCAAUAACUCAAGAUCCUGAAAACAAGGAUAUAUAUCUGAAUGACGCACCAUUACAGGUUAGCUCUGAUUCUAGCAGUCAGACUUUUUCAGCCAACGUUGAGCCAAAUCUAAAGCCAGAUUCUUCAGUGAAUUAUUGGGAAGAUGAGCUCCCAUUACAGGUUCAAGAUACUGAUGUGCUGUUGCUGCCAUAUAAAGAAGGAAGUCCCACUACUGGGGAGAUAAUCAAAGGAGGGGAUGAAGCAUCCUCAUCAGUUGCUGGCUAUGGACCAGAUGAAAUGGACUUCGAUGGCUUUGGUGACAUGUUCAAUGAGCCUGAGAUUUCUAUGGGGCCUGCCCCAAGGCCCUCUUUCGAUAACGUGGUUGCAGAAACUGUUGUUGUGGGAAACAACAGCGAUUCAGAUCCAGAUGAAGUUGAUAAUACAGAUUCUCCGGUGACUGUUGAGAGUUGUUUGGCUCAUUUUAUAAAACCAGAGCUUCUCGCAAAUGAAAAUGCUUGGCAUUGUGAGAAUUGUUCGAAAACUCUGCGACAUGAGAGGUUGAGAGCAAAGAGGCCGGUGAAAAAUGUGUCGACGAUUUUGCUGAAUGGAGAUCAGAUUGGCAGCCAAAAUGAGCAACUGCUCUGUCCUGCUGAAGUUGGAAACUUGGCAAAUGGUUAUAUGAAAAAUGAGGCUUCUCUUGAAGAUGCUGGUGAAAUCUUGAUUUUACAUAAAGCAAAAAUGGAUUGUGCACAAAUUGAAAAUGGUCAAAGAGGCGAGCUGAAUCCAGUUGUUUCUCAAUGCGAAGAAGGAACGGGUGUGAUAAACGGUGCACUUCCAGAGAAAUUGCAUUCUUCAGGUUGCUAUAAAACUUGUUGUCAAGAAAGUUUUUGCGGUCAAGCAAUUGAGUCAUGUAAUGUUCAUGCACGAAAUAGUGUGGAAUGUACCACUGGUAAAGUGCAUCACGAUGAGUCCCUGUCUUUGGCUCAAAGCUGUGAAUCUGAGGGAAGUGAGGACGAGGAUAUGAAUUCCAAAAGUGUGAAGGUGAAAAGGGAUGCCACCAAAAGGGUUCUCAUUUACAGGGCCCCGCCUAUUCUCACCAUUCAUCUUAAAAGGUUUAGCCAAGAUGCUCGUGGUCGCUUAAGUAAAUUAAACGGCCAUGUCAGUUUCAGAGAAACAAUUGACCUUAGGCCGUAUCUGGAUCCCAGGUGUAUAGACAAAGAGAAACACCAUUACCGCCUAAUUGGAGUAGUGGAGCAUUCUGGGACCAUGAGAGGAGGCCAUUAUGUUGCAUUUGUGAGAGGGGGCCAGAAGAGCAGCAGAGGAAAUGAUCAGAAAGAAAAUGAUGGUUCUGUGUGGUAUCAUGCCAGUGAUGCCUAUGUGCGGCAGGCUUCCCUGGAUGAAGUUCUUGGUUGCGAGGCCUACAUAUUAUUCUAUGAAAAGAUUUGAGAUAGAUCUACUUUUGAUACAUAUACGUUUCCCAGAGAUACAGUUUGGGGAUAGCUUGAGCACCCCAAAUUAGGGGGGAGAGAGAGAGAGAGAGAGAGAGGGCAAGUGAGUGUACAACAGCAAUUACCCUUAUCUCAAUACCCAAUUUUUUGACAUGUCAUGAGUUGUAAGAUUUAUACCUUCAUAUUAUUUCAUCAGAAGUUUUGGAUCCCACUACCCGGAAUCCCCCCCUGCCCACGCCCCAUUUUUUAAGGGUAGGUACAUCGCCUAGGAUCUUAGCUGCAUGAAUUACCAAUGGUUUUCAGUAGGAUGCUCAACUGUACUUGUCCAGAUUCUUCAAUUAUUGAUGCUGGGAAUUCCUUCAGCCAAAGCUCAUAAGAUGUGCACAGCCUUCCCCUCAAUUGUCUGUGAGAUGAUCAUCUGCUCAGGAUGGAAGUUCAAGAACAAGAUUAUUCUAAAAUGGCGUCUGCAUCAGCCCUUGCAUUGUAAAGAUGAUGGUGCAGCCGUUCAUUGCGACUAAUUAAACACCGGUGCAUCAAUCUACAGGUUCUGAAAUUUGAUGUAUUUCUUAAUUCAUCUACAAAGCCUUGGUCAAGUUAUCUUUUGGUUAUGAUAAUCUUUUGCUAUAAGAGUGUUGAGGUAGGCCGCCUAGUUCCAGGAAGAAGUCACUUUCACCAAUUGUCACUGGAUCAAAUCCUACACUCCACACCCUACAUGUGAACCUCUGCCCUAAACGGCCUCACCUCCCCCAUCUCAGCCCUGUGAUGGUGAGUCCAAAUUGUGGUGAUGAUCUCGGGAUAGUGUUGUGAAGUCGAGAUAACAUGAUGAAUAAGAGAAAUAGAGAAAUGACAAAAGGAAGAGGAAGGAUCUCGGCGUGGGUUUCUCAGAAUGGCACGAGAUGGCGGAAGGUGGCUGAUCGGUAUUCUCUGUGAUGGUCCGAGUACUUUCCUAUGGCGAUUGAUGGUGUGUGGUGUUAGUUUUUCAUUUCUUCUACUUCUAAAAUCCAUGUUGUUACUGUUUCGACUUCUUGAUUUUGUUGUUGCGUAGUGGUGGCGGGAAUUGGAGAAACUAAGAGGUGUUUCACGAUGCUACUGAGGUGAUUCCCUAUGGUGGUGCACGGUGGAGGGUUGAGACCGGUGCAAGAAAACUUGCUCUGUUUUGACUUCCUAAAAUAGAGGCUCUCGGGUUGCAUGUGGCGACGGUGGGUAGUGGCUCUCUCUCUCUCUCUCUCUCUCUCUCUCUCUCUCUCUCUGUGUGCACGCGCACGUGCGCAUGUGUGUUAGCCCUUUCCCUUGGUAGGCCUAGAUAGUGGGGUGAGAUCGGCGAAGGGGAGAACGCAAGGAGGGGAGAUGCAGGAGGGAGGGGCAAAAAUUUCAAAUGUAAAAUGUAAGAGGUAAACGUGUGUUUAGAAGAAAAAGACAUGUCAAAAAGUGUGCGGUGUGCUGUAAACAAUAGGCGGAUGUAUAACAAAUAUCUAAACUUCUUAUAUUGAAAUGUAUGGAGUAAGUUGAGAUGUGUUUAAUUUUUUUUAUGUGAAGUUGAAAAAAUAGUAGGUCUCAUCUGGUGUAAGACGAGUUGAGUUGAAUUCAUCUUCCAAACAUAGCCA